UAGCGUUGCUCGGAAUCACUGGGCGUAAAGCGCACGUAGGCGGACUCUUAAGUCGGUGGUGAAAUCCUGGAGCUCAACUCCAGAACUGCCUUCGAUACUGAGAGUCUCGAGUCCGAGAGAGGUGAGUGGAACUGCGAGUGUAGAGGUGAAAUUCGUAGAUAUUCGCAAGAACACCAGUGGCGAAGGCGGCUCACUGGCUCGGUACUGACGCUGAGGUGCGAAAGCGUGGGGAGCAAACAGG
rnacentral:rRNA from 1 species